UACGGGGGGGGCAAGCGUUGUUCGGAAUUACUGGGCGUAAAGGGCCAGUAGGCGGCCAACUAAGUCGGAUGUGAAAUCCCCAGGCUCAACUUGGGAACUGCAUCCGAUACUGGAUGGCUUGAAUUCGGGAGAGGGAUGCAGAAUUCCAGGUGUAGCGGUGAAAUGCGUAGAUAUCUGGAGGAACACCGGUGGCGAAGGCGGCAUCCUGGACCGACACUGACGCUGAGGAGCGAAAGCCAGGGGAGCAAACGGG
rnacentral:rRNA from 1 species